UACGUAGGGGGGCAAGCGUUGUCCGGAUUUAUUGGGCGUAAAGAGCGUGUAGGCGCCUGGUAGGUCAGUUGUGAAAACUCGAGCUCAACCUCGAGACGCCGAUUGAAACCACCAGGCUAGAGUCCGGAAGAGGAGAGUGGAAUUCCCGGUGUAGCGGUGAAAUGCGCAGAUAUCGGGAAGAACACCCGUGGCUAAGGCGGCUCUCUAGUACGGUACUGACGCUGAGACGCGAAAGCGUGGGGAGCGAACAGG
rnacentral:rRNA from 1 species